AGUCUGGUGCCAGCAGCCGCGGUAAUUCCAGCUCCAAUAGCGUAUAUUAAAGUUGUUGCGGUUAAAAAGCUCGUAGUCGGAUCUGUGUCUUCGCGGCGUUGAACCACUGAGUGUCUGCUAGACUCUGUCUGCAGACCAAGUGUUAGUUAUCAGCGUGUCAGCGAGACGUCCUGCCGGUAGGCGGACACGCGCUCGGUCUGCUCUUCAAUGAGCGCGAGUGGCGGCCGCCGUUCAAUCCUCAUUGUGCGCGUCGCAUUCGUGCUGGCGCGUACAACGGGCCGGCACGUUUACUUUGAACAAAUUAGAGUGCUCAAAGCAGGCUCAAACGUGGCCGGGUGCGCGCAAGCGUGCUCGGUCGUAUAGCCCUGAAUAUGGUCGCAUGGAAUAAUGGAACAAGACCUCGGUCUCGCCUCUACGCUGCUUGCAGCGCGUGAACUAGCCCUCGCGGCUGUUCCGUGCGCAGGUCGCCGUCUGAAGUCACGCGUUCGCGUCCGCCUCGCGCGGGUUACGCAACGUCGUGGUAUACUUCUUACGUUGGCCGGUUUUCGAGAUCAGAGGUAAUGAUCAACAGAGAUAGGCGUGGGCAUUCGUACCGCGACGUUAGAGGUGAAAUUCUUGGAUCGUCGCGUGACGAACCGAAGCGAAAGCAUUUGCCAAGUAUAUUCUCGUCUGAUCAAGAACGAAAGUUAGAGGUUCGAAGGCGAUCAGAUACCGCCCUAGUUCUAACCGUAAACGAUGCCAGCUAGCGAUCCGCUGAUGUUCCUCCGAUGACUCAGCGGGCAGCUUCCGGGAAACCGAAGCUUUUCGGUUCCGGGGGAAGUAUGGUUGCAAAGCUGAAACUUAAAGGAAUUGACGGAAGGGCACCACCAGGAGUGGAGCCUGCGGCUUAAUUUGACUCAACACGGGAAACCUCACCAGGCCCGGACACCGGAAAGAUUGACAGAUUGAGAGCUCUUUCUUGAUUCGGUGGGUGGUGGUGCAUGGCCGUUCUUAGUUGGUGGAGCGAUCUGUCUGGUUAAUUCCGAUAACGAACGAGACUCUGUCCUGCUAAAUAGGCGGGUUUUCUGUCGCCUGCCGCGCCGGUGUGCGGUUCCGCCGUGUGCCGGUCGGCAGUCAACGACGGAACGAUAUCCUCGAAAGCGGUUUGCUGGCGUAAGUGGCGUCGGUGCUGUUGUGGUCGCUCGUUUCGGCGGGCGGCCGCAGCCAGUGCCGGCGUUACCCGACAGUGUGACCGCCAAUGGGCUAUCGCCGGCUGAUAAAGCUUAAACUCUUCUUAGAGGGACAGGCGGCGGACAAAACUAGCCGCACGAGACUGAGCGAUAACAGGUCUGUGAUGCCCUUAGAUGUUCUGGGCCGCACGCGCGCUACACUGAAGGAAUCAGCGUGUACCUUUAUCCUGGGCUGAGAAGCAUUACCAGGUAAUCCGCUGAACCUCCUUCGUGAUAGGGAUCGGGGCUUGCAAUUGUUCCCCGUGAACGAGGAAUUCCCAGUAAGCGCGAGUCAUCAGCUCGCGUUGAUUACGUCCCUGCCCUUUGUACACACCGCCCGUCGCUACUACCGAUUGAACGACCGCAGUGAGGUCUUCGGAUCGAGGUACGGCGACGUUCGCGUCGAUUUGUACAUUCGAGAAGAUGACCGAACUCGGCCGUUUAGAGGAAGUAAAAGUCGUAACAAGGUUUCCGUAGGUGAACCUGCGGAAG
rnacentral:rRNA from 1 species